rnacentral:rRNA from 1 species
AGCCAGCCGCGGUAAUUCCAGCUCCAAUAGCGUAUAUUAAAGUUGUUGCAGUUAAAAAGCUCGUAGUUGAAUUUCGGGGUUAGUAGGUUGGUCAUGCCUCUGGUAUGUACUGGUCUCACUGAUUCCUCCUUCCUGAUGAGCCGUAAUGCCAUUAAUUUGGUGUUGCGGGGAAUUUGGACUGUUACUUUGAAAAAAUUAGAGUGUUUAAAGCAAGCUAACGCUUGAAUACAUUAGCAUGGAAUAAUGAAAUAGGACGUUCGAUCCUAUUUUGUUGGUUUCUAGGAUUGACGUAAUGAUUAAUAGGGAUAGUUGGGGGCAUUAGUAUUCAAUUGUCAGAGGUGAAAUUCUUGGAUUUAUUGAAGACUAACUACUGCGAAAGCAUUUGCCAAGGAUGUUUUCAUUAAUCAAGAACGAAAGUUAGGGGAUCGAAGACGAUCAGAUACCGUCGUAGUCUUAACCAUAAACUAUGCCGACUAGGGAUCGGAUGAUGUUAAUUUUUUAAUGACUCA